AGAUCCCAUCUCGUACCUUUUGCAUCAUGAUUUAACAAGUAUAACCAAGCAAAAAGCAUUUUAGUUUGGCCCCCCGAAACCAAGUGAGCUACUCCAAGACAACCUAUAAUAAGGGUAAACCCGUCUCUGUGGCAAAAGAGUGGGAAGAGCUUCGAGUAGAGGUGACAGACCAAUCGAACUUGGUAAUAGCUGGUUGCUUGAGAAAUGAAUAGAAGUUCUGCCUCUUACAUUCUUACCUCAAAUCUGGGCAAUAACGGCCCUACUCCACAGGCAAAUGAAGGCAAGAGAGUUAAUCAAAGGGGGUACAGCCCCUUUGAGACAAGACACAACUUUUCCAGCAGGGUAAAGAUCAUAAUCCUUAAGGUAACUAUGUUUUGGUGGGCCUAAAAGCAGCCAUCCCAUUAGAAAGCGUUAAAGCUCUAGCAUACUCUCUCCCUCGAUCCCGAUAAUAAAUCUUAACCCCCUAAACAUAUCAAGCCGUCCCAUAGAAACAUGGGAGCGAUUAUGCUAAAAUGAGUAAUCAGAGAACACCACCUCUCUCCUUGCACAAG
rnacentral:rRNA from 1 species